AACCAGCUGGGCAGGAGCAGGAUGAUUAAUAUAAAGAGAGGAAGUUUGUAACAGAAAAGGGCUUGGGGAAGAAUCUCCAAUUACUCUCUGGGAAUAGAGAGGGUGUAAGGAGGAAGCCUUGGAGACAAAGAAGCCCUAGGAUCCUAGUCUGAUAAGUAGCUAGGAGACACAAAGUAGCCACUGAAAGUGGAACAGGCUCCAGUAGUAAGCCCUGAUAAAAAUGAAAGCUCUAGCCUUCCAGAGAGGGGGAGAGAACGACUGGGAGGUGUUCAAUUAAGGAACAGACCAAGGGGAACUUAAGAAACCUAAAAGGACAAGACUGAGGAUGGUGGAUGUUGACUAAGGAUAUGCUUUUAGUGUGGCAUUUUGUUAGGGGAUUCCAGAAGAGGGCCCUGAGAGUCCUUGCCCUGAAAGAAGGAGGCAGCAGCAAGGAGUUGUAAGGAGCAGCCCUGGGAUGCUAUUUAUAUGCUAUGCCAAUUAUAGGAUCCCUGGGCUGCAGCCUGGUGUAAUGGGAGGGCCUGGGUUCUCCUACCAGCCACUGGAUAAGGUGGUGUAAAGCCCCCCUGUUACUAGUGGAUAAGGACAAGGGAAGCCCUGGGACAAGGCAGUGCAAGGACUGUUGGGGCCAGAGACCUGAUAUAAGGACCCUGGACUCUUGGCACUCUGUUAUACUGGAAGAGGUAGACUUAAACCGUGACCUGGCUGGAGGGCUGAGGAAGAAGGCUCAGGAAGAGGCCAGCUACUAGAGUGGCUGCCAGCAGAGUGCCAGAUAUGGACAGAACUACUACACCAUGUCUGCUACAAGGGGAUGCUCCUGUGGUGUCUGGACCCUGAUUGCCACAACUUCAAGAAAAAAGACUGACCUGAAAAGAUUAUUGUGUCUUGACAUGAAGACUUCAGAGUGAUGGAGGGAAAGUAAAAGAAAAGCUUUUCUUGCCUAGAUCAAUCUCUGAUAAAUCUCAAAUAUAUUGCAAAUCAUAUAUCAAAUAUAGUUAUCUCAUCUCUGAACAGACUAACCACAUUCCCACUUAAUUAAAACAGCCAUAUUAUAAAGGAGAAAGCUCAGAGGCUGAUAGGGAACAAGAUUCAAGCAGAAAGAGGAAAUACUAGCAUCCCUGAAAUGAAGGAUGAUAGGCAAAUAACGAUGUAUCUGACAGUCAAAAAUGAUCAAUUCAGAAAUUUCUGCCAAAUCAUUUUAAUCUUCUGAAAAUGUAUUUAGUGCUCAAAAUUGAUAGUUUCAUGGAAAAUGGUAUUUUCAAACCCCUGUCUUUGGAACAAAAGAAUGUAUUAGGUGCCCAGGGCUGUACAACUAAAUUGAGGCUGUCAUAAAAGAAAUGCUGUCAAAUAA